AUUGAACGCUGGCGGCAUGCUUUACACAUGCAAGUCAAACGGUAACAGGCCGCAAGGUGCUGACGAGUGGCGAACGGGUGAGUAAUGCAUCGGAACGUGCCCAGUCGUGGGGGCUAACGCAGCGAAAGCUGCGCUAAUACCGCAUACGAUCUAUGGAGGAAAGCGGGGGACCGGAAGGCCUCGCGCGCUUGGAGCGGCCGAUGGCGGAUUAGGUAGUUGGUGGGGUAAAGGCUCACCAAGCCAACGAACUGUAGCUGGUCUGAGAGGACGACCAGCCACACUGGGACUGAGACACGGCCCAGACUCCUACGGGAGGCAGCAGUGGGGAAUUUUGGACAAUGGGCGCAAGCCUGAUCCAGCCAUGCCGCGUGUCUGAAGAAGGCCUUCGGGUUGUAAAGGACUUUUGUCCGGGAGCAAAUGCUGGUGGCUAACAUCCACCGGAGCUGAGAGUACCGGAAGAAUAAGCACCGGCUAACUACGUGCCAGCAGCCGCCGUAACAC
rnacentral:rRNA from 1 species